rnacentral:snoRNA from 1 species
GACCUCUGGUUCCCUUUCCCAUUGGAUCUGAACACUGGUCUUGGUGGUCGUAAAAGAAGGGAAAGUGAUAUUAAAUCUGGCCUCAGAGCAUUGCAGCCUGACAUACAGCAUGUGGGCUAGUUUCAAACAGGA